rnacentral:lncRNA from 1 species
GAGUAUCUUUACCAUCAGUCCAAAAGGGAUACUGAGCUUGCAAACUUGACCUUUAUUUUAUUACUAGUGGUGGCAACUAUACCCUCUCUUUGCAUAAUAAUGUUACUGACACAGUCCUGAUUUGUACUAUGCACCCCUAUAUACUUUUGUUUGGGCAAGGUGUUCCUAACAUAGAGCAGAAUCAAUCCUUUUAUAGUAUUAAAGUCUCUUCCAGUAGUUGGUAUGCUACAUGCUUGUCUCAUCAAAACAUUACACAGUUGAAUAUAACCUAUGUCAUGAUUGUGGCUCUUGAAGCCACUGUUAAAUAGCUGGGGAAUCAGCAGCAGGCAUUCAUUACCCGCCAAAAUUUACAUUGUGAUUGGCAAUAUAAUUCUAUCUGUGUCACACCUCUGCCAUAUAAUAGCUCCCAACAUGUUUGGGAGAGAGUAAAAGCACAUCUAUAAGGGGCUUAUCACAACCGUUUGUCUUCUCAAAUUUCCACUCUUGAGUGUAAAUUAAAGAAAAAGCUUGAAGAAUAGUCACAGCAACUACUAACAAGUACCCUUCAGCAAUUACCCCCCUUCCCCCGGCCCCACUCAGCUGGAAUUGUCUAAGAACUCAUUCUUGGCGUUCACUGCAAGCUAUAAACUCUGCAAGUGGUGCACCCGACGUGAUCGCCUUGAAGUUAUGCGUGAAAGGAGGAGAGCUCAUCAAUUUUCGGAAAAUCCCGGUAAGGGACACACAUCUGCAAGGGGCUUAUCGCGACCAUUUGUCUUCUCAAGUUUCUACUCCUAAGUGUGAGUUGAAGAAACAGCUUGAAGAAUGGUCACAGCAAUCACAAACAAGUACCCUUCAGCAAUUUCAAGAAGGCUUUCAAUGGUUAAACCCAAACAUUUGGUUGUCUGGGUUAAACAUGCGCAUCUGGGUGAUGGCCGCUAUAGUUAUUCUUUCUUGUAUCUGUUUGCUAGACAUCUGCAGAGAUCGUGCCACUGCACUCCAGCCUGGGUAACAGAGCGAGACUCCG